CGGAACCUUCCUUGGAGGGCCUGUCUCCUAUCGGCUGUUGGGGACAUGGAGACUCCUGGAUGUAUAAAAAAGGGUUUUCGCUGGGAAUUUACAGUGAUCAAAGUCUUUCCUGAGGUCGGGGACCAUGUUUCAGAGAAGCUGGUGAGUCUGGUCUUCUCCAUCUCGGGGCCGGUCAUUUAAGUGGGCCUGGACCAGGACAAUGCCACAUAGAAAACUGCCACUGGUGGGUAAAUGAGGCCCAGAGAAGUAGAAGCACUUGCUCAAGAUCACAGAAUGAAUGAGCAACAAGCCCAAGGACUAUUCCCUGAUGUUCAGCCCACUCUUCCUGAUUUGGGCAGAGCUUUGCAUCAUUUCUUCUGUGACCAGGUGGCCAAGCACCUGGACGUCCUGAAGCUCAUGGAAAAGCUCCAGGGAUCAUGGAGCUUUAAUCCCAUCAUGUGAAUCAGGAAUCAUUUUAGCUGCAGAAGAUAUGACUCCCCAGAUGCACGCAGUAAAAAUCACAAUGCUGAGCACAAGUGCUCAGGGGAAAAUCCCGACACAGAACACUAACCUGCCUUUGAGUUUUUCAGUUGAUAUUAUUGUCUGGAGGUGCUUCUAGCAAACCUAUAGCAAAAGGCACCAAAGGUUUAGAAAAAUUUAUGGGGGCAAAACUGAAAAGGGAACUAAUUCUGUCCAUUAGUUUCAUGGUGUCAGUUUAUGUGUGUGAAUAUGAAAAAAAUUAAGAGGAUUAUUUCUCAUAUACUUUGAUGCUGGAACAAAUGCCUCCAGCCAAUGGGGUCUUGGGGGGGGGGGGGGAGGAAGAACCAUUGUUUUUCAUCCUAUAAAAAUAAAUUUUUAUUUGUUCUCUGAUUACAAAAAUAAUAGGUACACCUGAAGAAGUAGAACACUAUAGAAAUAUGCACAACUUAGAGAGGGAAGUUGUUUCAAUAUUGUUCUCCCCCCAAGCAGACUCGUUAAUACUGACUUGUAUUCAGACCUACUAAGUGAGUGCCAGGCACUGGGAGGGCAACAGUGAACAAACACAGAUGCCAUCUGUGAUCUUCCGGAACUCAUAGUUGAGUGCAGAAGAGAUAUGAAAUCAUCACACAACUGUAAAAAUUCAAUUGUGUUUUGCAUUUAAAAGGAGACAUACGAAGGCACGAAAUUGAGAAAGAGACCUUGAUGAGAAGGCUUGGGAAAGCUUUGUAGAAGGAGUCACAGUGGAGUUUGGGACCUGUUAAGUAUGCGAAGAUGGGAGGAAAGAGUGAUCAAGGAAGAAGAAAUGUCUAUGCAAAGGCCCUGUGGCAGGAGGGAGAAAAAUCAGUGUUGUCAGAGUGACUGGUUCAUGGAGAGGCAGCAGAGGCAUCUGGGGGGGUCUGUGAAGAUCGUGGCCGAGACUUUGUCCUAACAGUAAAG